rnacentral:rRNA from 1 species
AGGGCGCACGGUGGAUGCCUUGGCACUAGGAGCCGAUGAAGGACGGGACUAACACCGAUAUGCUUCGGGGAGCUGUAAGUAAGCUUUGAUCCGGAGAUUUCCGAAUGGGGGAACCCAGCAUCUUUUAUAGGAUGUUACUUUUCAGUGAAUACAUAGCUGAUUAGAGGUAGACGCAGAGAACUGAAACAUCUAAGUACCUGCAGGAAGAGAAAGAAAAAUCGAUUCCCUGAGUAGCGGCGAGCGAAACGGGAAAAGCCCAAACCAAGAGGCUUGCCUCUUGGGGUUGUAGGACUCCGAUAUGGUAGUCCAGUGAGAUAGUCGAAGGACCUGGAAAGGUCUGCUAGAAAGGGUAAAAGCCCCGUAGACAAAAUUUGACUGGCACCUAGGAGGAUCCUGAGUACGGCGGAACACGAGGAAUUCCGUCGGAAUCCGGGAGGACCAUCUCCCAAGGCUAAAUACUCCCUAGUGACCGAUAGUGAACCAGUACCGUGAGGGAAAGGUGAAAAGCACCCCGGAAGGGGAGUGAAAUAGAUCCUGAAACCGUGUGCCUACAACAAGUUAGAGCCCGUUAAUGGGUGAUAGCGUGCCUUUUGUAGAAUGAACCGGCGAGUUACGAUUACUUGCGAGGUUAAGUUGAAAAGACGGAGCCGCAGCGAAAGCGAGUCUGAAUAGGGCGAAUGAGUAAGUGGUCGUAGACCCGAAACCAUGUGAUCUACCCAUGUCCAGGUUGAAGGUGCGGUAAAACGCACUGGAGGACCGAACCCACGUACGUUGAAAAGUGCGGGGAUGAGGUGUGGGUAGCGGAGAAAUUCCAAACGAACUUGGAGAUAGCUGGUUCUCUCCGAAAUAGCUUUAGGGCUAGCCUCAGAGUAAGAAUGAUGGAGGUAGAGCACUGUUUGGACUAGGGGCCCAUCUCGGGUUACCGAAUUCAGAUAAACUCCGAAUGCCAUCCAUUCAUCUCUGGGAGUCAGACUGUGAGUGAUAAGAUCCAUAGUCGAAAGGGAAACAGCCCAGACCACCAGCUAAGGUCCCCAAAUAACUAUUAAGUGGAAAAGGAUGUGGGGUUGCACAGACAACUAGGAUGUUGGCUUAGAAGCAGCCACCAUUUAAAGAGUGCGUAAUAGCUCACUAGUCGAGUGACCCUGCGCCGAAAAUGUACCGGGGCUAAAUAGUUUACCGAAGCUGUGGAACACACCAAUAGGUGUGUUGGUAGGAGAGCGUUCUAAGGGCGUUGAAGGUAGAUCGUGAGGACUGCUGGAGCGCUUAGAAGUGAGAAUGCCGGUAUGAGUAGCGAAAGACAGGUGAGAAUCCUGUCCACCGAAUGACUAAGGUUUCCUGGGGAAGGCUCGUCCGCCCAGGGUUAGUCGGGACCUAAGCCGAGGCCGAUAGGCGUAGGCGAUGGAUAACAGGUUGAUAUUCCUGUACCCGUUGUUUUUGUUUGAGCAAUGGAGGGACGCAGGAGGCUAAGGAAUCAGACGAUUGGAAAUGUCUGUCCAAGCAAUAAGUCUUGAUGUGAGUCAAAUGCUUACGUCUUUAAGGACAAGUUGUGAUGGGGAGGGAAAUAAUAGUACCGAAGUUCCUGAUGUCACACUGCCGAGAAAAGCUUCUAGUGAGAAAACAAUGGCCCGUACCGCAAACCGACACAGGUAGUCGAGGAGAGAAUCCUAAGGUGAGCGAGAGAACUCUCGUUAAGGAACUCGGCAAAAUGACCCCGUAACUUCGGGAGAAGGGGUGCUGAUCUAACGAUCAGCCGCAGUGAAUAGGCCCAAGCGACUGUUUAUCAAAAACACAGGUCUCUGCAAAAUCGAAAGAUGACGUAUAGGGGCUGACGCCUGCCCGGUGCUGGAAGGUUAAGAGGAGUGCUUAGCGUAAGCGAAGGUACGAAUUGAAGCCCCAGUAAACGGCGGCCGUAACUAUAACGGUCCUAAGGUAGCGAAAUUCCUUGUCGGGUAAGUUCCGACCCGCACGAAAGGCGUAACGAUUUGGGCACUGUCUCAACGAGAGGCUCGGUGAAAUUUUAGUACCUGUGAAGAUGCAGGUUACCCGCGACAGGACGG